rnacentral:rRNA from 1 species
UACAGAGGGUGCGAGCGUUAAUCGGAAUUACUGGGCGUAAAGCGCGCGUAGACGGUUUUGUAAGUCAGGUGUGAAAUCCCCGGGCUCAACCUGGGAACUGCAUUUGAAACUGCAUGGCUAGAGUACGGUAGAGGGAAGUGGAAUUUCCGGUGUAGCGGUGAAAUGCGUAGAUAUCGGAAGGAACACCAGUGGCGAAAGCGGCUUCCUGGUCCAGCACCGACGUUCAGGCACGAAAGCGUGGGGAGCAAACAGG